AGCACUGGAUAUAAAGACAAUUAGGAACUCUCCUGUAUUAUGUAUGAACCACCACUUGCUGAAUGAACCAUUUACUAAGGGCACAAAAGGCAGGGAUGAAGUCAUUUAAAGAAGCAGGAAUGUGUGACUGCAGCAAAUACAGCAACGGCAAGAUAAUGUGUCUGAUGAGAUAAAUACCACAAAACAACGUACUGCAAAGAUCAUGUUUCACAAAAAGAUCAAUAUUUGCAAGUCGGGAGAAGAAAAAUCAUGAGGAGUAUUAAUGG